rnacentral:rRNA from 1 species
CAGCCGCCACGGUAAUACGGAGAGAGCUAGCGUUGUUCGGAAUUACUGGGCGUAAAGCGCGCGUAGGCGGUUACUCAAGUCAGAGGUGAAAGCCCGGGGCUCAACCCCGGAACUGCCUUUGAAACUAGGUGACUAGAAUCUUGGAGAGGUCAGUGGAAUUCCGAGUGUAGAGGUGAAAUUCGUAGAUAUUCGGAAGAACACCAGUGGCGAAGGCGACUGACUGGACAAGUAUUGACGCUGAGGUGCGAAAGCGUGGGGAGCAAACAGGAUUAGAUACCCCAGUAGUCCCUGUCUCUUAUAC